GAUGAACGCUGGCGGCGUGCCUAAUACAUGCAAGUCGAGCGAACGGACGAGAAGCUUGCUUCUCUGAUGUUAGCGGCGGACGGGUGAGUAACACGUGGAUAACCUACCUAUAAGACUGGGAUAACUUCGGGAAACCGUAGCUAAUACCGGAUAAUAUUUUGAACCGCAUGGUUCAAAAGUGAAAGACGGUCUUGCUGUCACUUAUAGAUGGAUCCGCGCUGCAUUAGCUAGUUGGUAAGGUAACGGCUUACCAAGGCAACGAUGCAUAGCCGACCUGAGAGAGUGAUCGGCCACACUGGAACUGAGACACGGUCCAGACUCCUACGGGAGGCAGCAGUAGGGAAUCUUCCGCAAUGGGCGAAAGCCUGACGGAGCAACGCCGCGUGAGUGAUGAAGGUCUUCGGAUCGUAAAACUCUGUUAUUAGGGAAGAACAUAUGUGUAAGUAACUGUGCACAUCUUGAUGGUACCUAAUCAGAAAGCCACGGCUAACUACG
rnacentral:rRNA from 1 species